rnacentral:rRNA from 1 species
AGUGAACGCUGGCGGUAGGCCUAACACAUGCAAGUCGAACGGCAGCACAGUAAGAGCUUGCUCUUACGGGUGGCGAGUGGCGGACGGGUGAGGAAUACAUCGGACUCUACUUUUUCGUGGGGGAUAACGUAGGGAAACUUACGCUAAUACAUCAUACGACCUACGGGUGAAAGCAGGGGAUAUUCGGACCUUGCGCGAUUGAAUGAGCCGAUGUCGGAUUAGCUAGUUGGCGGGGUAAAGGCCCACCAAGGCGACGAUCCGUAGCUGGUCUGAGAGGAUGAUCAGCUACACUGGAACUGAGACACGGUCCAGACUCCUACGGGAGGCAGCAGUGGGGAAUAUUGGACAAUGGGCGCAAGCCUGAUCCAGCCAUACCGCGUGGGUGAAGAAGGCCUUCGGGUUGUAAAGCCCUUUUGUUGGGAAAGACAAGCAGCAGGUUAAUACCCCGCUGUUCUGACGGUACCCAAAGAAUAAGCUCCGGCUAACUUCGUG